AGCUUUGCGCAGUGGCAGUAUCGUAGCCAAUGAGGUUUAUCCGAGGCGCGAUUAUUGCUAAUUGAAAACUUAAAUAAUUUCCCUUCAAAAAUUGUAUUUUUAAAAUACCUGAUGUAAUCUGGUAAUGAAUAAUUUUA